rfam:Rachicladosporium antarcticum strain CCFEE 5527 scaffold_20, whole genome shotgun sequence.
UGCAAUGAUGAACAACUUAUUCACACUGUUUGAACGGACUGCAGUGUAAACGACUGCAGACGUGAUGAACGUACAACACUGAAAAUUCUGAUUUAAUGAGCCUGAUC